UACGGAGGGUGCGAGCGUUGUCCGGAAUCAUUGGGCGUAAAGGGCGCGUAGGUGGCCCGGUCAGUUCGUGGUGAAAGCGCGGGGCUCAACCCUGCGUCGGCCAUGAAUACUGCCGCGGCUGGAGCACUGUAGAGGCAGGCGGAAUCCGGGUGUAGCGGUGGAAUGCGUAGAGAUCCGGAGGAACACCAGUGGCGAAGGCGACACGCUGGGCCGUA
rnacentral:rRNA from 1 species